rnacentral:tRNA from 3 species
CAGGCUGUAGUUCAGUUGGUAGAAUGCGCGCAUGGGGUGCGUGAGGUCGGGAGUUCGACUCUCCCCAGCCUGA